AUUGAACGCUGGCGGCAUGCCUUACACAUGCAAGUCGAACGGUAGAGUAGCAAUACUUGAGAGUGGCGAACGGGUGAGUAAUAUAUCGGAACGUGCCCAGUCGUGGGGGAUAACGUAGAGAAAUUUACGCUAAUACCGCAUACGAUCUAAGGAUGAAAGCGGGGGAUUCGCAAGAACCUCGUGCGAUUGGAGCGGCUGAUAUCAGAUUAGGUUGUUGGUGAGGUAAAAGCUCACCAAGCCGACGAUCUGUAGCUGGUUUGAGAGAACGACCAGCCACACUGGGACUGAGACACGGCCCAGACUCCUACGGGAGGCAGCAGUGGGGAAUUUUGGACGAAUGGGCGAAAGACCUGAUCCAGCAAUGCCGCGUGCAGGAAGAAGG
rnacentral:rRNA from 1 species